rnacentral:rRNA from 1 species
GAUGAAUGCUGGCGGCGUGCCUUAGGCAUGCAAGUCAAGGGGGUCCGAUUUAUCGGACAACCGGCAGACGGGUGAGUAACGCGUAGGAAUCUACCUCUAGGUGGAACAUAGCCUUCCGAAAGGAUGGGUAAUUUUCCAUAGUUCUCGUAAGAGUAAAGGACUUAACGGUCCGCCAAGAGAGGAGCCUGCGUCCUAUCAGCUUGUUGGUGGGGUAAAAGCCUACCAAGGCGAUGACGGGUAGCUGGACUGAGAGGUCGAUCAGCCACAACUGCACUGAAACACGGGCAGUACACCUACGGGUGGCUG